CUUAAAAUAUAUGCAAUUCAGAACGAUUUUUAACGUGUUUUCAAUGUAAUGGCAGAUCAGAAACUAUUUCAGCGUAGAAUUCUGUGUCCAUUUACCAAGAAUGAGUGCUGUUCUACAUGUGAAGUUUCAGCUGAGCUCUAACUUCUUAAAAACCAAGAACAGUUUGGUUAGAUACUUAUUCUCUGUGAAAAGGAAGUAUAGGAGUUGGUUGGCGUAGAAAAAUGUUUUCUUCACAUUCAGUUCUAAGAGGAAUUCAUCACACUCUGAAGGAGGAGGGUGGAGUCCUUCACCUUCUGCAGCACCAGGAAGAGUCCCUUCCAGCCCUACUCCCCACACUUGUCAUCAGUGACACACCAGUGUCUUGGGGCACAGCUGGUCUGAUGUAGUCAUCUCUACAAUUAUCAGAUGUUGUUGACAAGAAGAACGCAUUGCUGGGAGUCUUCAGAAGGAAAAUGAAGACCCAAAGAAGCCAUUAGACCUGAAAGCCUAUAUACCUUUUUACAUAAAGAGUGACAAAUUGUGGGGAUGCAACAAGACAAAGGGGCUUGGACUAGUUGUGGAACAAUGACUAGGAAAUACACAGGGGAAACAAAUGGAAGAUGAGGGUUACUUUAGUAGGUUUGUUUGUUCGACUUCCAGUCUCUGAUCAUACUAAUGUUCUUCUCAGUGAUGGACGUUAACUAGACCCAUUGUGGUGAUCAUUUUGCAAUACGUACAUAUAUCAAAUCAUUAUGUUGUACAUCUGAAACUUAUGCAAUCUUAAAUAUCAAUUAGAUCAAUAAAACUGGUAGAAAAAAAAGUUCUCUUCCAGGAAGAGUACAGGAAGGGUACAGAAAGAUACAGGGAGGGCACCUUUCUCAGGGGAAAUUUUGACCUGCUUUUAGGUAGAAAGGGAGAGG